rnacentral:ncRNA from 1 species
AUAAAUGCAACGAUAAAGAAAAGUAAUUCUAUGAUGAUUUUUAGAGAGCAGAUGAUGGUGGAAUAUCUGUAUGAGUCUUGAAUGAAAGAACACUUUGGAGCAGUUAACCGAAAUUACAAGUACGUAAUAGUAGACUUAGCCGGAAUCACACCGUUAAAAGUGAAGGAUAUAGAGUAGUAGUGUGUUUACGAAAGUAUCUCAAAAUUUUUACAUUAUGCACUCUGUAUUUAUUAAGUGAACUUGUUAUCAGGUUAAACAGGGUGGUACCGCGGAAUAUGAUUAUUAUAUCUCGUCCCUAUG